GCGUCAGUGGUGAAGUGGUAUCGUUGCGUUCUCGCACUGUGCAACGCGGGUUCGGGUCCCGUCUGAUCCG